AGCGAACGCUGGCGGCAGGCUUAACACAUGCAAGUCGAACGGGCUUCUUCGGAAGUCAGUGGCAGACGGGUGAGUAACACGGGGGAACGUGCCCUUCGGUUCGGAAUAACUCAGGGAAACUUGAGCUAAUACCGGAUACGCCCUUUUGGGGAAAGGUUUACUGCCGUAGGAUCGGCCCGCGUCUGAUUAGCUUGUUGGUGGGGUAACGGCCUACCAAGGCGACGAUCAGUAGCUGGUCUGAGAGGAUGAUCAGCCACACUGGGACUGAGACGCGGCCCAGACUCCUACGGGAGGCAGCAGUGGGGAAUAUUGGACAAUGGGCGCAGGCCUGAUCCAGCCAUGCCGCGUGAGUGAUGAAGGCCUUAGGGUUGUAAAGCUCUUUUGUCCGGGACGAUAAUGACGGUACCGGAAGAAUAAGCCCCGGCUAACUUCGUG
rnacentral:rRNA from 1 species